rnacentral:pre_miRNA from 1 species
AAUAUACUCCAUCCGUUCCACAAUACAUACUUUUCCUUUGUCAAAAUAUAGACGUAUCUAGACAUGUUUUAGUAUAUAGGUACAUCCAUUUUUGGACAAAUGAAAGUCAAGUAUUUUAGAAUGGAGGGAGUAUGAG